UAUUUCUGAACAUGGAAAACUAUUGUCAGCCGACUGUGUUUUGCUUAUAAGCCUAACUUAUAUAUAUAUCUUAGUUAGAAAAUUUAAAUCUACAUUAAUAAAUGCAAUGAGGAACACUGCACAUAUUUUACGUUAGUCUUAAUAACCCUGCUAUCAAACAAAUUAACUAAGUUCCGAAUACUUUGCGUCUAUAAAGCCGUAUAAAAACAUGAGAGUAAGAAAACCAUUAAACAGAGAGCGACUGUGAAGGCAGAAGCAGUACUCAUUCGUCCCGCAGAGCCGCAGGCUGGAGAAGCAGCUUCUGCACCGAGACACUGUAAAAAGGUGUGAAAUUAUUUAGCUGGACUCUUAAAAAUGUUACUACAGUUUGUUCCCCAGUGAGGUUCAUUAGGGAGGAGUGUUUAAAGUGGUGGGGUGAUGUUGUGGAACAGUGUCGCCACCCUCUGGUGACUUGAAGGCACUGCAGGGUGGGGAGGCAGCAGUGCGCAGGCGUUUUCUCUUUCUACUGCAAUCCGGAAUAAAAUGCAAGAUACAAGUAAGAGACAUGACGCUCAAAAGGACGGGCCCAGCAAAGGAGCAGAGGGCGGAAGGUUCCCAGGUAGAAACAAAGGAUCGCUCCAAAUGACCGUGACAGGAAUGUGAGCCGACAGCGAUGGCGACGACUGAUGCGGACCACACAGAGGCUAUGCAGGGAAACUGACCAACUCCACGGUCAACGGGAGCACCUCUGACUCACCAAUGGAGACUAACAAUGCUGGAUCAGCCUGCAGAGGGUAUCCUGGGAAACAAGGCGUCAGCAGGAGCGGGCCUGCAUGGACAAAAGGACAUAAACUAGACUUCAGUGGGGGAAUACAUGAAAUUAUACAAAGGAAAAAAGAUUAGAGGGAAAAGAAAGACAAAAAGAAGUUUAACUACAGUGAUAGGGGUUCAACUUAUUUUGAAAACGGAACCCACAAUGUACAAACGGCGUCAGAAACCCCUGAACACAAAAAAAUUAGAAAUUGAAUUUCCAAUUAAAUGCCAGUCCUCUGUGUGCGCAUGCCCAAAAAAGAAAUUUCAAUAAUUUUAACAAAGAAGAGUCUGUUUUGUUUAAAGGGUGUUUUUCUCCCUUGGAUGCUAUGGUUUAAAGAAAUAAAUAAUACUAGAUGUUUGGUUGGUUUUUAGCAUCUCUGCAUUUGACCUUAUGUGAUCUCCCACAAUAUAAAAUAAUAAUAGUUCAGUCGCAGGUGCUAACGUGACAUUUGGACAAUGUUUAGGUCAAACCAAUGCGACGCUCGCAGUAUAGUUUGAUAGUUAAUUUCGAAAAUUUGAUGCCUUUGCAGUUUUUAAUUAAGGAUGUUUGAAAAUCUCGGUAAACGGUCAAAUACACAGCAUAUAUCUGCGUCAACUGGAGCAUUUAGAUCAAGUAUAUCCUGACUCAUGCUUAACACGUUCAUUCGAUUGAACGUCCAACUUCAACGAAAACGUCAACGCAGAAUUAGCCUACAUUUCUCGCUCCGGAAUAUUAUUGUAUAAUCACUGUUGUCACGCAGCUUUUCCAUAAAAUGGAGUAAAAUAAGUACAUUUACUCAAGUGCUGUGGCUACUUAAGAUUUUGAGGUACUUGUACUUUAUAUUGUACUUUUUACUCCACUACAUUUAAUUGACAGCUCAACUUACUUUGCAGAUUUAGAUUAUUAAUACAAAACAUAAAUCAACUAAUAAAUUAUGCUGACAUAUUACAGAUCAAGAUACACAGCAGUAGCCUUUAUAAAGGUUCAAAUGUGUCCCACCUUUACCUGCAACAUUAAAGUGAUGAAAACAUUAAUGCAUCAAUAAUUACAAUCCAGUAGUAUAAUAUGUACUAUUCUGAACUGGAACUUUCUGCAUAAUGAGUGCUUUACUCUUGGUACGUGAAGUAUAUUUUUGCUGUUUUGAAUACUUUUUGUACUUUUACAAAAAUAAAGCUUUGAUACAGAACUUGUAA